AUGAUGUGUACCUGUGACUUAGCCUCAGGAGGUCCUAACAACAUGUGUCCAAGAUGGUCAGAGCACAGCUUGGUUUUAUGCAUUUUAGGGAAACAUGAGAAGUCAAUCAUCACAUGCAAGAUGAACACUGGGUCGGUCUGGAAAGACAGGACAACUGGAAGCAGGGAUGGGCUUCCAGGUCACAGGUACAUGAGGGCUUCACAGAAAAGAAGUGAAAAAUCCAAAGAGGCAGUUGUCCUCUGGGGCUCAUAUACAAUUUUAACAAAGGGUGAUAAAUUGUGGAGAAGAGACUAGACAAAGGAAAGGGGUUUGGACUUCUGGAGUCAAUAAAUUGUGGGAAGGUGAGUAGAACAUAUAUGGAGGAAACUAAUGGUAGAUCAGAGUUCUUUAGCAACAUUUCUUGAUAUAGACUUAUUUUGGCACUCCUCUUUCUGAUAUGGGAAAGAAGGGACACCUGUUUCACAAGGAAAAUUUAUGCCCUGCUUUUAGGCAGAUGGGGAAGGACAGAGAGCUCUUCCUAUGUCUGAUUUGGCCCAGUUGCUUCCAGCUCAAAAUAAUUAUUAUGUCAAAGUGGCAUAUUAUGGGAUGAUAUAUACUAAUCCCCUUUUAAGGGAACAUGGAAUCCUAGUAUCUAAAUGUAUCAAAGAACUUUAAUGUUUAUUCCAUCCAACUUUCUACCUGAUCUUUGAAUUCUCUCCACAACUAAUCACCUCUCUACCUCUUUUGUUUGUUUUCUGUAUGUUCUUAGAACUUUCCUCUGUAUGUUUUUCUUUAUUGUUGUUCUCUUUUACUUUUUUACUUUCCUCAUUGUGUUCACC
rnacentral:lncRNA from 10 species